rnacentral:rRNA from 1 species
UGCUCAAUGAUUUUUUAAAUUGCUGUAGUAUUUUGACUAUACAAAGGUAUUGAAAUAAGACUUUAAUUGAGUGCUAAGAGAAUGGAAUUUCAAAAAAAUUCUUUCUUAGGAUUAAAAAUUGAAAUUAUUUUUUUUUGUGAAGAAACAACAAUGAUAAUUAAGGACAAGAAGACCCUAAGAAUUUUAAAAGAGAAAGAAUACUUUAUCUCUCUUUUCUUUUUAAUUGGGGCGAUUAAUAAAUAUCAAAAACUUUAUUUAAAAUGAAAUAUGAACCGUUAGUAACGGUCAAAUGAAAAAAUACUCUAGGGAUAACAGCGUAAUAAUUUUUGAUAGUUCCUAUAGACAAAAUAGUUUGCGACCUCGAUGUUGGAUUAGGAUUCUUUUUUAAUGAAGAAGUUAAAAGAAGAAGUUUGUUCAACUUUUGAAAUCCUACUUGAUCUGA